rnacentral:rRNA from 1 species
AUUGAACGCUGGCGGCGUGCUUAACACAUGCAAGUCGAGCGGUAACAGGCGUAGCAAUACGUGCUGACGAGCGGCGAACGGGUGCGUAAUACAUGGGAAUCUGCCUAGUAGUGGGGAAUAACCCGGCGAAAGCCGGGCUAAUGCCGCAUACGAUCCACGGAUGAAAGCGGGGGACCUUCGGGCCUCGCGCUAUUGGAUGAGCCCAUGUCGGAUUAGCUAGUGGUGAGGUAACGGCUCACCAAGGCGACGAUCCGUAGCUGGUCUGAGAGGACGGCCAGCCACACUGGGACUGAGACACGGCCCAGACUCCUACGGGAGGCAGCAGUGGGGAAUAUUGGGCAAUGGGCGCAAGCCUGACCCAGCGACACCGCGUGGGGGACGAAGGCCUCCGGGUUGUAAACCCCUGUCAUGAGGGACGAAGCCGAAAGGUGACGGUACCUCAAGAGGAACGCCCCGGCUAACUACGUGCCAGCCGCCGCGGU